rfam:Schistosoma haematobium scaffold331_8, whole genome shotgun sequence.
AUUCAACUGAUGAGUUCCAAACAGGACGAAAUAUGCGUCCUAGAU